rnacentral:lncRNA from 10 species
GCGGCCGCCGCUGCGCGCCUAAAGGAGGCUGUCUGCGGAGCUAUGGUGCGGUUCUCUUCCCGCGCCGCCCACCAAGGGUCGCUCCUCAUCUUCUUAUUCACUCACUUGCUACUUCGUUUAGUCCUUCAUUAAUUCCUGCAGUAAGCAUGUAUGGGCUUCUACUGUGGACCUGGCAUUAUGCCACGCCUUCGAUGUACAUUGGAGAACCAGAGAGCCAAGGCAUUAUAUUUCCCAACUCUCCUGCAGUUAGCUGGGGGCCACAUGGCUGAGUUCCGGCCAUUGGAAUGUUGCUGGAACUGAUGUAUACCACUUCCAGGAUUGGUCUAUAACACCUUCCUUGAAUCUUCCCUUCUCUGUCUUUCCUGGUCUUCUGGAAGUUCUUAGACAACGGUGGAACCACUAGAUAGAUAACAGGUUCCCGAUUCCCUGAACGAGUGUGAUAGAGUGUCCUCACCAACCCACAUUGGAAUAUGACAUGGGUAAGAAAUAAUUCUUAGUUGUGGUAAACUGCUGAGAUUUGGGAAGAUUUUUUUUUGUAACAUUAUGGUAAAUUGUUGAAUUCAUCAAAGGUAUGGCCUUUGAUGAAUCACACAUUCCUCUGUUCACACCCUUGUAUUCUUCCUUCCCACAUGGACUCUGUCUUUGGCUAUGUAACUUGCUUUGGCCAUUGGGACAUCAGCAAAUACGAGAUAAGCAGGGGCUUGAAAGGUGUUUGUGCAUUAAGGCUUAGCCUGUUUUGCUGCUGAGAAUUCUUCUUCCACAAAGUAAAGAAGCUUAGGCUAGCCCACUGACAACUAUGGCCCAAUCAUCCACCAGCACCAAGGGCAAGACGUGAAAAAGGCCAUAAUGGAAAGUCUAGUCUUAGAAAAGCUGCUGGAUGACCACAACUCUGUAAGCAACCCAAAGCAAGAUUAGCAAAACCACCUAGCUAAACAUAGUCCAAACUGUUGACCCACAGAACACAUAAACAAAUAAAAUGAAUAUUGCUGUAAGCCACUAAGUUUUAGGUUGGGUUUCUUACACAGCAGUAGAUAACUGAUACAAAGAGUUAGCUUAUUCUGACUAAUAUAUUUGUACAAUGAUAAGGCUGAUCUUGGGCAUAAGUGACUAGGCUGAAAGAACUAGCUUCACCCGUUCCAGUUUGUACCCAGUUGCCUAAGAACUGGGGUCAUCAACAUCUUGAUAUGCCUGUAAACAACUUGUGGCAUACGAGCAUGCCACAGCACAGUGGUCUGGAGACUGCUCUCUUCUCAUCUAUAAAAUUGACCUGGUAGAGUAAUAAAGUCUUAAAAUAUAACCAACAUGAUUUUAUUAUUGAUGCUAGGGAUAUUUCCUCCCACCCUUUGCCCCCUCAUCACCCCUACUUUGCCAGCCCUCCAUCCCUUUCUCUCUUGUUCAGCCAGGUCAUUUAGGGGUUAUUAUUUGGGGAAAUAUUGUCUUAAGUUGGUUUCGGUUCUCUGGAACUGGAAAAAGUCACAUAGUAAUACACCAGUAAGUUGCCAAAAAGGAUCCUGAGCCCUGCUUCUCUUGGGGAGAACAAAACAAAAACCCUGAAUGGUGUGGGAGAUCCUGGAACAGAAUGGCCUGUGCUACUUUCCCAAGGGAAGGCCAGAGAGGCAGCUCAGGAAAGAAGGUAGUGUGGUGUGCCUAGGCAGGUGAGGCGCAGUGUGGUAUAGAGCAGCAAAGGGUUCCUGGUGCCCAAGAGGUGUCCAGAAUUGGCAGAGAUAUGCCAGACCUGAAGGAAUCGCACAGUUGAGAAUAAGCAAUGAAUGACUUAACGGUGACUUAUGUUGUUUGACCACCAAGGAUCAGAAACUCUUUCCCACACUUACUGAUGCCUUGAUACUCCGUAAGUCCCCCAGAACUUAAAAGCAAGCCUAGGCAAGAGUGGCAGCCCCUGAAUUAACUGAGGUUAAUUACAGAGAAACUAAGUUCUUUCAUAUCUAAAUCUAUGGAAUAAAAUUUGUACUUAAGUAAUUGUAAAACUACUUCCAGCGCUAUCAUUUUAUAUACAUAUCAUAAUAUAGAUGCCAAAAAUUGGUAUUUUUCUAUACCCUGUAUAUGUGUCUACCUGUCUACACAUUAAUCAGCUUCAAUGUAUAUUAAUAUGGUUAGCCACAAGGUGACACUAGAAAGCUAUCUUUUGCUUAUGGUUCUAGGUCUUGACCGUCAUUGAUUUUCAUAAACGGCUUCUAUGAAGUAUUGUAUUAACAGUAGUAAUCCCUUCCAGGGACAUUUUCAUUUUAAUAAGGGAGAUGGCAGCAAUGAGGUUAAUAGGAGGCAAUGUUCAUAUUUUAAAAUAAUAAAAAUAAGACUCUCUGGAACAGGCUAUCAACUAGUUUUUAUUCUUGCUCUUCUUACC